AUUGAACGCUGGCGGCAUGCCUUACACAUGCAAGUCGAACGGCAGCACGGGCUUCGGCCUGGUGGCGAGUGGCGAACGGGUGAGUAAUACAUCGGAACGUGCCCUGUAGUGGGGGAUAACUAGUCGAAAGAUUAGCUAAUACCGCAUACGACCUGAGGGUGAAAGCGGGGGACCGCAAGGCCUCGCGCUACAGGAGCGGCCGAUGUCUGAUUAGCUAGUUGGUGGGGGAAGAGCCUACCAAGGCGACGAUCAGUAGCUGGUCUGAGAGGACGCUCAGCCAGCCUGGGUGUGAGACAGGGCCCAGACUCCGACGGGAGGCAGCAGUGGGGAAUUUUGGACAAUGGGGGCAACCCGGAUCCAGCAAUGCCGGGGGUGUGAAGAAGGCCUUCGGGUUGUAAAGCACUUUUGGCCGGAAAGAAAUGGCGCUGGCUAAUACCUGGGGUCGAUGACGGUACCGGAAGAAUAAGCACCGGCUAAUUACGUGCCAGCCGCCGCCGUAAAAC
rnacentral:rRNA from 1 species